UAUCAACUCAACCAUAUCAUGCCCGAAAAAGACAGCGCAGUCGAUAAGCCCAGCUGGGCUGACCAGGUGGAGGCUGCAGGAUCUGUACCGCCUGGAUCAGAAAUAAUCGAAGGUGAUACGAAGAUCGUGGUAGAGUACAAAAGAGGUGAUGAUAGAAAACUACUAAAGGUAA